ACCGUUAAUAAUAUUUAACGGCGUUUAAUAAACGUCGCAUUUUUCUCUAAUCAAAGCGGCACCGUUUCAAUAAUACAAGACGCUUUUAAACACCGUGGAAUGGGUUUUGUCCAUCACACUCCCUCUCUCCUGUUUUAUUUUUAUUUUAAGCAACAAUGAAACUCUCGCGCUCGCGCUCUCACUCUCACUCUCGCGCUCUCUCUCUCUCUUUCUCUCUCUCUCGCCCUUUCUACGCUGUCUAAGAUCUUUCAAAAUCGAAGUCAGCCAUUUCGAAGAUCUUACAUCGGUGAUUCAUCGGAGCCAUUUUGAAGUUCUCUCUGCGCUGUCUAAGAUCUUUCAAAAUCGAAGUCACAGCCAUUUCGAAGAUCUUAUAUCGGUGAUUCAUCAGAGCCAUUUCAAAAUCGAUUCAGAUCGGUGAAUCGAUUCAGAUCGGGAAACAGAUCGGUGAUUCAUCAGAGCGAUUUCAAAGUUCUCUCUCGAAAUCAAAAUUGAAUUUCAUCUCAGCGAUGCAAAUCGAUCUGAAAUUCAUGAAAAGAUGAGCUGCAUCCGUUAUCAAAACUAUGAUGCAGUGGUAGAUGACAUGCUUGAUGAAGUAAAUGAGGUAGAUGGUGCCAGCUCAACAAAUGAAGGUUGUCAAUCUGAUCAAGAGGAUAUAGGAGGAUGAGCUGCAUUUUUUAUUGUAUAUUAAGAAAAGUGUUCCUGUAUUUUAUGCUGGUUUCCCUGAAACUGUGCCGAUUAGAACCGUGAAUAGGCAGUGUUCUUCUGGUCUUCAGGCAGCUGCUGAUGUAGCUGCAGCUACUAAAGCUGGAUUUUAUGAUAUUGGUUGAGUCACAUAGGAAGGCUGCUACUGCAACUGCCUCUGGUAAAUUUAAAGAGGAAAUAAUCCCUGUGGAUACCAAGGUACAACAUUUUUAUUACAGUUUCAGUAAGAUUGUGAUACCAAAUUUUAGCUGCUCAUUCACUGUUUCCAAGUUUGUGUAUGGUACAAAUUUGUGCUCUGAUAUGUAUAUAGUUUCUUUAAAAAGAUUGUUGAUCCAAAAACUGGAGAUGAGAAACCCGUGACGAUCUCAGUUGAUGAUAGAAUUUGGCCAAACGCAACGAUAUCAGACUUGGCAAAACUAAAGCCUGCAUUUAAGAAAGAUGGGACAACCACUACUGGUAUUUUUAAGCACUGCUGGUAUAACAUGCAUACAGAAACCCAAGGGAACAAGGACACACUACUAUACUUGGGGAUCCCAAAUCCUAUUAUCUUUUGAUUUUGGGUUCAAUUUAAUGAAUGGUUUUGGAUGGAAUUUACCUCUGUUAGUUAAUAAAUGGGUUUUUUUUUAAUUAAAAAAAAUUAUUUAUAGAUUUAUCUUGAAAGAAUAACUAGAAGAGUGGUUUCCAAUGGAAGAAAGUCGACCAAUAUAUAUGUGUGUGCGAAUUCAGUCCCAUCGAGGUUGGGAUGAAUUUGGAAGGAAUAUCUAAAAUUUAUGAGAUAAAUUGUUUGCAAGAAAAAAUUAUGGUGGGCAAUUGCUAAAAUUAAAUGAUGCAAAACCACUUUCCACAAUCAAAAGCUAUGCAUUCUCUUUGUGUUUAUUUUUUGAAUAGUGAUCAAAAUUUGUGUGCGUAAUCAGAAUUUGAAGAAGGUGUCAUGUUCCACUGUGCUUACUUUAGCAUAUCAGAGCCUUGGAGUGGUUUAUGGUGAUCUCAGUACCUCCCCUCUGUAUGUUUACAAGACCACCUUCUCCGGGAAGCUGAGCCUUCAUGAGGAUGAUGAAGAGAUUUAUGGGGUGCUUUCCUUUAUUUUCUGGAC